GUUUGGUUAAGUUAGAAAGGGCGCACGGUGGAUGCCUUGACACUAGGAGUCGAUGAAGGACGGGACUAACGCCGAUAUGCUUCGGGGAGCUGUAAGUAAGCUUUGAUCCGAAGAUUUCCGAAUGGGGAAACCCACCAUACGUAAUGGUAUGGUAUCCUUAUCUGAAUACAUAGGGUAAGGAAGACAGACCCAGGGAACUGAAACAUCUAAGUACCUGGAGGAAGAGAAAGCAAAUGCGAUUUCCUGAGUAGCGGCGAGCGAAACGGAACAUAGCCCAAACCAAGAGGCUUGCCUCUUGGGGUUGUAGGACAUUCUAUACGGAGUUACAAAGGAACGAGGUAGACGAAGCGACCUGGAAAGGUCCGUCGUAGAGGGUAACAACCCCGUAGUCGAAACUUCGUUCUCUCUUGAAUGUAUCCUGAGUACGGCGGAACACGUGAAAUUCCGUCGGAAUCUGGGAGGACCAUCUCCCAAGGCUAAAUACUCCCUAGUGAUCGAUAGUGAACCAGUACCGUGAGGGAAAGGUGAAAAGCACCCCGGAAGGGGAGUGAAAGAGAUCCUGAAACCGUGUGCCUACAAAUAGUCAGAGCCCGUUAACGGGUGAUGGCGUGCCUUUUGUAGAAUGAACCGGCGAGUUACGAUCCCGUGCGAGGUUAAGCUGAAGAGGCGGAGCCGCAGCGAAAGCGAGUCUGAAUAGGGCGUUUAGUACGUGGUCGUAGACCCGAAACCAGGUGAUCUACCCAUGUCCAGGGUGAAGUUCAGGUAACACUGAAUGGAGGCCCGAACCCACGCACGUUGAAAAGUGCGGGGAUGAGGUGUGGGUAGCGGAGAAAUUCCAAUCGAACCUGGAGAUAGCUGGUUCUCCCCGAAAUAGCUUUAGGGCUAGCCUUAAGUGUAAGAGUCUUGGAGGUAGAGCACUGAUUGGACUAGGGGUCCUCAUCGGAUUACCGAAUUCAGUCAAACUCCGAAUGCCAAUGACUUAUCCUUAGGAGUCAGACUGCGAGUGAUAAGAUCCGUAGUCAAAAGGGAAACAGCCCAGACCGCCAGCUAAGGUCCCAAAGUGUGUAUUAAGUGGAAAAGGAUGUGGAGUUGCUUAGACAACUAGGAUGUUGGCUUAGAAGCAGCCACCAUUUAAAGAGUGCGUAAUAGCUCACUAGUCGAGUGACUCUGCGCCGAAAAUGUACCGGGGCUAAAUACACCACCGAAGCUGCGGAUUGAUACCGAAUGGUAUCAGUGGUAGGGGAGCGUUCUAAGGACAGUGAAGUCAGACCGNAAGGACUGGUGGAGUGCUUAGAAGUGAGAAUGCCGGUAUGAGUAGCGAAAGACGGGUGAGAAUCCCGUCCACCGAAUGCCUAAGGUUUCCUGAGGAAGGCUCGUCCGCUCAGGGUUAGUCAGGACCUAAGCCGAGGCCGACAGGCGUAGGCGAUGGACAACAGGUUGAUAUUCCUGUACCACCUCUUUAUCGUUUGAGCAAUGGAGGGACGCAGAAGGAUAGAAGAAGCGUGCGAUUGGUUGUGCACGUCCAAGCAGUUAGG
rnacentral:rRNA from 1 species